rnacentral:rRNA from 1 species
GACGAACGCUGGCGGCGUGCCUAAUACAUGCAAGUAGAACGCUGAAGGAGGAGCUUGCUCUUCUGGAUGAGUUGCGAACGGGUGAGUAACGCGUAGGUAACCUGCCUGGUAGCGGGGGAUAACUAUUGGAAACGAUAGCUAAUACCGCAUAAGAGUAGAUGUUGCAUGACAUUUACUUAAAAGGUGCAAUUGCAUCACUACCAGAUGGACCUGCGUUGUAUUAGCUAGUUGGUGGGGCAACGGCUUACCAAGGCGACGAUACAUAGCCGACCUGAGAGGGUGAUCGGCCACACUGGGACUGAGACACGGCCCAGACUCCUACGGGAGGCAGCAGUAGGGAAUCUUCGGCAAUGGACGGAAGUCUGACCGAGCAACGCCGCGUGAGUGAAGAAGGUUUUCGGAUCGUAAAGCUCUGUUGUAAGAGAAGAACGAGUGUGAGAGUGGAAAGUUCACACUGUGACGGUAUCUUACCAGAAAGGGACGGCUAACUACGUG